AGUAGUUUGAUCAGUGGCUCAGGACGAACGCUGGCGGCGUGCUUAACACAUGCAAGUCGAACGGUAAGGCCCUUCGGGGUACACGAGUGGCGAACGGGUGAGUAACACGUGGGUGAUCUGCCCUGCACUUCGGGAUAAGCCUGGGAAACUGGGUCUAAUACCGGAUAGGACUCCUGGCUUCAUGGUUGGGGUGUAAAGCUUUUGCGGUGUGGGAUGGGCCCGCGGCCUAUCAGCUUGUUGGUGGGGUAAUGGCCUACCAAGGCGACGACGAGUAGCCGGCCUGAGAGGGUGACCGGCCACACUGGGACUGAGAUACGGCCCAGACUCCUACGGGAGGCAGCAGUGGGGAAUAUUGCACAAUGGGCGCAAGCCUGAUGCAGCGACGCCGCGUGAGGGAUGACGGCCUUCGGGUUGUAAACCUCUUUCAAUAGGGACGAAGCGCAAGUGACGGUACCUAUAGAAGAAGGACCGGCCAACUACGUG
rnacentral:rRNA from 1 species